UGGGGGCUUAUUUGGCCUCCCCAGGAUGGACUGGAGCAUCAGUAGUGCCCGGGUUUAUCACAGGACAGAUACUCAAGACACUCUUAUCACCAUUAGGUGGACUUGGAGGAGCAAAAAACAAGUGCAGUGGCUCCUCAGCAGAGACACUCCUGAAUGUAUAGACAUGGGAACCACCUUCAGCAUCAAAAAAGGAAACGUUCUGCAUGCCCAUAUCCAGAAAAAUCCCCACUCGCUGUAACUUGCGGUCUACGAAGAGGAAAGUCAGCGGCACCGUGCUGGCAGAGAGGCGGCUUCCAUCCCUCAAACUCACAGUCCAGAAUCCACGCUCUGUGGUCAGAUGGAUCCUCCCUUUGCGGUGAACAGAUUCUCUGCAGACUCCCAGGUCCCAUUCUGUGCUUGUUCCCACGUCCACCUCCCAGUAGUGGCGGCCACAGGUAAAGCGAGGGGAGCCCAGGAUGCAAAUGGACACGUCAAAUCUCUCGGCAAGGUCUUGCCGAUUCUGUGUGAUGCACCCACUUCGGACGCUCCUGAGGUCGUCAGAAAUGAGGAGGAAGUUGUUGGCUGUGUCGGCAUCCAAGGUCAUAUCCACUGUGAAAAGGAAAAAAAGUUGAUCAGAAAAUGGACAGAAGCCAACCCCAUGCCUCUCCUCUACUUCAAAGGCCCAAAUAUCUCUUGACUUUGGUUUCUUUAAUUCUCUUCUUCCCCCAAAAUCAAAACUUUUCAUGAGGCAACUUCCCUGACUAGUUCAAAUUCUCAUAGGUAUGCUUUGUGGCAAUACCCAACUCUUAUUCACAGUAGCAAUUAUUUUACUUUAUGUCACGUGUUUGCUUCAUUGGACUUUUCUUCAUUUAGAGUGGAGGGUCUCUGAAGGCAGACACCAUGACCCCCUUUCUACCACCUUGAUGCAUGAAAAAAUGAAUGAUAAUUAAGACAAUGCAAAUGGUCGAUGUUAAAUAUGUUUCUGCUUCCAUCUUGUAUUGCUCAACUCAGUAUAUAGAGCAUGAUUCCAGGCCUUUGUUUUCCAUGUUUGUAAGCAAAUUAAUUGUGCAUGGUUCUGACAGCAGGUAGGGUAUCUCUGCAGCUGACAAUGUGAUGACAGAGGUGCCGGUCCUGGACAUUAGGAGGCUCCAAGGCCAGGAGGAAGAGGGGGGCCUUAGAUGAAAGAAUGUUUUCCAUCCUACAUGGGAGGUGAAACCUUAAGCAAAACAAUGGUAAAUUUUGGAGUGAAGAGAAAGGUAUUUGAAAGUUGUUUGUUGGCUGAGCGCGGUGGCUCACACCUGUAAUCCCAGCACUUUGGGAGGCCGAGACGGGUGGAUCACGAGGUCAGGAGAUCGAGACCAUCCUGGCUAACACGUGAAACCCUGUCUCUACUAAAAAACAUACAAAAAAAUUAGCCGGACAUGGUGGCGGGUGCCUGUAGUCCUAGCUACUCGGUAGACUGAGGCAGGAGAAUGGCAUGAACCCAGGAGGCGGAGCUUGCAAUGAGCAGAGAUCAUGCCACUGCACCUCCAGCCUAGGCGGCAGAGCGAGACUCCAUCUCAAAAAAUAAAAAAAAAAAGAAAGUUGUUCGUCAUAACUGACUGAUCGUAGAGAAUAAGGGCAGUAAAUACAAAGGUCAAUAAUUUAAUGCAUUGGGUAUGUGGUUGAUAGGUGAAGCUGCCAAUUCUCAUGGAGGAGGCAGUGUGAUCUGGCCUAAAGAAAAUUAAUUGUCCAGAGCAUUCUGAAAAAAAAAUCUACAGAACAUAUGAUCCUUCAAGUCAAAAAACUGAUGAUCACCAAUAUAGAUUUUAUAGAUUACAGUAAGACUUGAGGAGACUGAUUGCUGUUUGAUGGUGAAUUAGGGAAUGAAAUGAGAUGAGUGGACAUGGACAAGGAAGGAGGAAGAGGGUUCCAAACAUGACUUAGGCAGGGUGAAUCUGUCCUCCAUAUUUCAGCAGAGACACAGUCAGGUAUGGGUAGGUGGAUGAGUAGAGAUCAUGGGUGUCAGGGCAGAAGCCACCACCAUUUAUAGGUGUAAUUCUUUGCCCAGGCUGACCAUAACCUCUUCAUUUAAAUGUCCCUAUUCCCCAGAGUUAUGGAGAGUGAUAGUAUUUUCUGUAGCCAGGACCCCUGUUGAAGUCCAUGGCACACCGAUGAGGAGACCAGCGUCUGCAACUCGCCCCACUCACAGAAACAAACACCAUAGGUGCUCCAUUCCAAACUCUUCCCAACCCUGGGGUGAGGUUGUUUGGUACAGUGGGUGCCAAUACUCACUGUGCAUUAGAAUUACCAGGCCCAUUUAAAUGUCAGAGUCCUGGGAACCUUUGCUAGAGAGAAAUUCAAAUUAAGUUGCUCUGUGUUUUUGCUACUCAGCAAAGUCCCCAAGCCAGCGGGAUCAAUCCUGAGACUUCCCAGUUCAGCAUCUGCAUUUUAACAAGAUCCCCAGGUAAUCUGAGCACACUAAGUUUAGAGAAUCCCUUGUCUAACCCAUGACAUAGACAUCAGGUUUUUUUUUUUGAGACGGAGUCUCACUCUGUCACCCAGGCUGGAGUGCAGUGGUGCAAUCUUGGCUCACUGCAAGCUCCGCCCCCCCCAGGUUAACGCCAUUCUCCUGCCUCAACCCCCAAGUAGCUGGGACUACAGGCACCCACCACCAAGCCUGGCUAAUUUUUUGUAUUUUUAGUAGAGACAGGGUUUCACCGUGUUAUCCAGGAUGGUCCCGAUCUCCUGACCUCGUGAUCCACCCGCCUCGGCCUCCCAAAGUGCUGACAUUACAGGCAUGAGCCACCAUGCCCAGCCAGCCUUUUUUUUGGAGAUCACCAGGUGAUUCUGUAUGUUGUCAGGGCUGAGAAUCUGAUGAUGAAGAAGCAUCUCAAUUUUAGGUGCCAGACAGCAGCUAAUCCCCAUAUGGAAUGAGGGGCCAGUUGCACAGAUGAUUUUUCCUGGUCUGGUCGUAGGAAGGGGGCAGUGUAUACAGAUCCCUCACCUUGGAACUUCCGCAUCCUUGGGUUCAUCUGCAGAAUCUUCUUCAGCUUGGGCUCCAGUUCCUUGAUGUGGGAAGCCAGCCUCUCUAGCUGCCAACUGGGCCUGAUUUUGUUCUUCUGAGAGACCAUGGAACAGCAACAGCAAAGUAGAUCCUCCCCAUGGGGCUCCUUCUGCAGUGAAUUGAUGCACUUGAAGCAGACAGCGCAUCCACACUCCAGGGACAUUGGUUUCUCUAGAUAGUCUGAGCAGACGGGACAGCUGCUUGCUUCUUGGAAGAGUGCAGCCAUGUCCACUGCCAGGGGAAAAGUGCACAAGGGAAGAAAAUUUCCGUGAGGUGAAAGCCUGUUAGUUGUGACAAGUGACAACCUUUUCAUGCAUAAAGGUAUUGUGUCCCAGCUUUGUCACUUCUAGAACAAGACCAUGAGUACAAACACUCAAGCACAUCCCCCCACCCCCCGUCUUCAGAGAUUUGAAGUUCUAUUGGGAAAGAAAGUCACGAAUCAUCACUGUGCUCUGAACUGAGGUGGAGGAAGGGUCCAUUCUACUGGUGACCCAGCAACUGAGCCUGAGCCAGUGACACGGCAGCACCCAUGUGAGGAACAGCGAGCUGGGGUCAUUUCACCUCCUCCUAGGGGAACCCCAGCAAGAGAUUGAUUGAUGAACAUAAGAAUUAGGGGCUGGGAGGCCGGGCGUGGUGGCUCAGGCCUAUAAUCCCAGCACUUUGGGAGGCUGACGUGAGUGGAUCAUCUGAGGUCGUCAAAAGUUCGAGACCAGCCUGAUGGGUGAAACCCCAUCUCUACUGAAAAUACAAAAGAAUUAGCCAGGCGUGGUGGCACACGCCUGUAAUCCCAGAUACUUGGGAGGCUGAGGCAGGAGAAUUGCUUGAACCUGGGAGGCAAAGGUUGCAGUGAGCCAAGAUCCAGCCAUUGCACUCCGGCCUGGACAACAGAGUGAGACACCAUCUCAAAAAAAAAAAAAAAAAAAAAGAGAGGGACUGGAUGCAGUAGCUCACAUCUGUAAUCCCAGCACUUUGCGAGGCCAAGGCUGGAAGAUCCCUUGAGCCAAGGAGUUUGAGAUCAGCCUGGGCAACACAGGAAGACCCCCUCUCUACAAAUAAUAGAAAAAUUAGCAGUGAGCAGAGAUCACACCAGGUCACUCCAACCUGGACAACAGAGUUAAGACCCUGUCUCACCAAAAAAAAAAAAAAAAAAAUCACAUCCUUCUCCAGCCUUGGAAAUGAAUACCAAAUUGACUGCCACCACUCCUAGACUGGAGAUCUGGGGAUCCAGGGUGACUGGUUUUCAACUCUGAGGCAGCACUCAGACAGCCUUUGUUGAAUUCAUUAAUUACGAAUUUCUCUCAUUCAUCCCCCAAGGCAUAACCCCCAUUUCUAGGCAUCUAAGGAGGAAAAACACACACACAGGCAUGGGCUCACCUCUUCUGCUGGAAGCUCCUCUGUCCUCCAGCUGCUUCCACUGGGCGCUCAGGUCUUGUGCGGAAGGGGCACAUGAGGGCGUUUUAUUGGUGAGAUUCCCACCUCCCACUGGGUCAUGCCCUUCCACACCCUCUAACCUAAUGAGGCUUUGAUUUAAUUAUAACAGGGAAUUAGGUUUUUACUGGUGAUAUAUCUCCAGUUAAUUGUAACUUUAGUAAAUCCUUCAUCCUGACAGUGUAUUUUUCUUUCAUAUGAAGAUAAGAUUAAAUUGCCUUUAUAUUAAAUUAGGCUUAAUGUACUAACUUCAAAAGCUUAUUUUAGAGAUGUUUCCAUCAGUUGUCAGUAAAGAUAAUUCCUGUAAUAUGUUGUAGGCUUCAAGCUUUGCUUGGAAACCUGAAGUAUUAAGUAUGAUUGGAUUUGCAAUUUUACAAAAUGGUUUAAAUUCAUAUACAUCAGACUCAAAGGUAAUAGGGGCAUGCAUUCCAUUGAGGAAAUUCUAGGGAAUUUUUAUUUAUUUUCAUUGGUUUAUUUCUGGUUUUGAAAAAAUUUCAUAAUUCAUAGGAAAAAAUUGGAUAAUUACUAUUUUGACAAAUGACCAUUAAGCUUCUUGGACCUUGAGUACUUCACACAGUGUUAAGAUAAAAGUCACAAUUUAAAAAAAAAAGAUGAUUUUCUUGUGAAACUUGUGUUCUCAAAUAAAAAUUGUUACCCGUGAAAAAAAAAAAA
rnacentral:lncRNA from 1 species